AGAACGAACGCUGGCGGCAUGCCUAACACAUGCAAGUCGAACGCUCCUGGGAUUUCGGUCUCAGGGGAGUGGCGCACGGGUGAGUAGCGCGUGGGAACCUGCCCUGUUGUGGGGGAUAACCGAGGGAAACUUGUGCUAAUACCGGAUAAGCCCUUACGGGGAAAGAUUUAUCGCCGAAAGAUUGGCCCGCGUCUGAUUAGCUAGUUGGUGAGGUAAUGGCUCACCAAGGCGACGAUCAGUAGCUGGUCUGAGAGGAUGAUCAGCCACAUUGGGACUGAGACACGGCCCAAACUCCUACGGGAGGCAGCAGUGGGGAAUAUUGGACAAUGGGGGCAACCCUGAUCCAGCCAUGCCGCGUGAGUGAUGAAGGCCCUAGGGUUGUAAAGCUCUUUUGUGCGGGAAGAUAAUGACGGUACCGCAAGAAUAAGCCCCGGCUAACUUCGCGCCAGCAGCCGC
rnacentral:rRNA from 1 species